GAUUCUGUAGCUCAGCAGGUAGAGCACAUCCCUUUUAAGGAUGGGGUCUUGGGUUCGAAUCCCAACAGGAUCA
rnacentral:tRNA from 1 species